UGGGACGCAGAGUAGGUAAUGGAGCAACAAUCUAAAGAAGAAGAGUCUGAGAGUAACAUCAGGGAUUAAAAAGAUGAGCUUGUACCUUGAAGGUGAUACCUUCGAAGAGUCUCUCGUGACGUUUGCCAUGCCUGUACUCUCCACACAAGGAAAGCUAGGACAACAGAACAGAGGGAAGCAAAGAAAGUCCUGGCUCUGCACUUAGAACACUAUUGCUGACUUUAAAGUUAAUGAUAAUAGCACCUUUUGCUUUGCAGAAGAAAACAAUUACACAUAUAUGUUCUCUUUUUCCUCUCCUUCCCUCCCCUCCCCACUUCCCUGCUCUGCCCUUCUCCCCAUGGCUCCCUCCUCUCUUCUUCUCCCUUCCCUUCUCUACACCUCUCUUCUCUUCUUUCUUCUCUUCUUCCACCCUUUCCUCUCUCCCUCCUUUCCUUUUAUCCCUCUCUCCUUCUUCUAUUUAUUUUUUAACUUUCUUUUCAUUUAUACUUUCCGUCUUUCACAUCAUGAAUCUGUAUCCCAUUCAUUUCCCUCUCCCUUCAUAUCUGCCCUCUGUCCUUGCAACCUCCCCUCCCCCCAAAAAAUAAAAUAAAAUAAAAUUUAAGAGAAAAAAAUUAAAAAAUAGAAAAAAAUCGACCUUGUCAUGGAAGCUGUAGCGUGCCACAAUGAGUCACCCAGGAAAGCCUUUUAUCCAUAUAACUUUACUUGCAAGUAUUCAUUGCAAAGAGUCAUUGGUGUGGGUCAAGGCCUUUGGUUUCUGCUACACUGUUGAUGCUGGGUCCUUCUCCUAUUUAUAAUUUUAUGUUAAUAGCAUAUGCUCUCUCUGAGAUACUCCUAAUGUUAAGUUAUUAUAGAAAUACACUUAAGUGAAACAAUAAAAGUAAUAUUGUACAUAACCUCAGGAUAGUGAUUUUUGCUCUAGUAUAUAUUUAAAACAUUUGAUCAAAAGAUUUUAUUUUCUGUUAACUGUUAGUAUUCCAGUAUUUUAGGAAAUAAUGCAGUUAAUUUGUGAAAUGAGUAGACUUUUUAAUAAGUAAUGUUUUUCAAGUAUAUUAAUUUGUAACUUAAGAAAUAAAUGUUGCUGGGAGGUGGUGGCGCACGCCUUUAAUCCCAGAACUCAGAGGCAGAGGCAGGCAGAUCUUUGUGAGUUUGAGGCCAGCCUGGUCUACAGAGAGAGAUCCAGGAAAGGCACAAAGCUACACAGAGAAACCCUGUCUCGAAACCCCCCCCCAAAAAAAAACAAGAAAUAAAUGUCUACUUUCCAGAAUGAAUUGAUUAAAAUGCUUACCUUUUAAAAGAUCUUUAUGUGUGGUUUUUAUUUUGCAUGGUCAUAGUAAAACAACUACAUAGAGAAAACAAAAUUUAUAUAUUUUGCAUAAACUCAGUUAUUUUCUUUCAUGCCAAAUAAUAUUUACACAGUGUGUAUUUUCAAUAGAAAAGCUACAAAUGAUUGUGGGAAUGGAAACCUUCAAUCAUGGUGCUAUUGUUAACUUGAGAAAGAGGACCUUUUCCUCUGCUUACUUCUGACUUAGUAGUGCUUUUGUUGGUUUCCUACUGCUGUUUUGAAAAAUUACUACAAGUUUAAUAUUAAAAGACAAGACAAAUGCAUUAUUUUGCAGUUCUGUAAAUCAGAAGUGCAAAAUCUGUCUUAGGGGUCUAAAAUCAAAGUAUUGGGAAAGUUGUCUUCUUUAGUGAAAAUUCUAGAGGAGAUUACAUGUCCUUGUCUUCCAGAUUCUAGGGCCAACUAAUUUCUUUGGCUCAUAGACCCACCGUCAAAGCCAGGAGCACCAGGCCAAGUAUCUUCUACAUUUCCAUCUCUGCUAUUUUGGAUUUCCCCUUCAUUUGUAAGGAAACUUUUGAUUACAUCAAGGCCACCUGUCCUAUCUAGACUAAUCUUAUCUUAAGAUCAGGUGAUUAACGGCAUCAAUGUUCCUUUUACUAUGUAACCUACCCUGAUUCAUAGGUUUGGAGAUUAAAGACAAAGAAUUCUUUAGGAGCCAUUAUACCACAUCAUACCACAGAGCUCAGGCACUUGAGGAAAGCUCUUAUUGCCACUGGCUCCCUGGCAGUUAAUUUGAAUCAGUGUAUGUCUCCUGAGCGCUUCCUGCUAGAAUGUGUUUGAUGAGUGUGUCCAAUACAGUUUUCCCUAAGGCACAGAGUGGCUUCCACAUCUUUCUCCUAGCUUCCCCUCAGGCAAGAAUGAUGAGGAGCUAAAUCUGUGGUGAGUGAUAUUAAUGUAUUUACUACUAAUUAUGGGUUUUGGCUUGUUCACAUCAAUAAACAGGUAAAGACAAAUUUGAAAAAACAAAACAAUAUGUCCUGCUAUUUUAAGUGCAGUGAAAUAAGUUUACUCUUUUUACUGUGUGGAAGACUGAACAAAUUGCUUCUUGUUGUUUUUUACAUGGAGCCAUGUUCAUACACAUAGUUAAUGGACUCGGAGCAUAUGCUUCUCACCUUACUGUCCUCCCUCCCAAGUACUAGUCCCAUUCUUCUGCUUUUGUGUGAUCUCUACAUGUAUGAUUUUGUGUGUCUACAAGCCUGGACCCAGAAAUUCUAGAAUGUUAUACUUGACUAACUGGGACUGACUUAAUUGCUUCAUAUGAUUAUUUCUAGUUGUAUUCAUUUUCAAGAGUAUGUAAUAAUUUCUUUCCCCACGCCUGAAAACCCUUUCAUUGUGUAUGGAGAGCACCUUUUAUGUAGGAAACCAUGGGACUGAGAUCAGCCAUGCCAGCUGCCGAGCAGGUGCUUCUGCUCUUCAGCAUCACCAUUGCUUAUGCACUUGGAAGUAAACACUAACACCAUCACCAUAUGUGGAUCUAGUGCCCUUAAUCUGCACAUACAUGUAUGGUGUUGCCUCUUUUACCCUCCUUCUUUCACUCUCUGUAGUUAUCUGUAAACUUCCUAACACAGCCUAUAUUCAAAGAUAAUAAUAAUAAUUCACAUUUUUUAAGAUUACAACUCCUACAACUUAGCAUGACCAGGUUUUCAGCUUUCAUAAUGUGUAAAUACACUGUGAUUUAAAUAAACACUAAAUAUGAUCUAAUUAACCACCAGAGAUCAUUGAAAAACUACAGAAAAUGACUAGACUUUCUUCUGUCCAUACUUAGUGUGUAAAUGUUAUCACUGCUAAAAAUUGAACAAUAACUGGCACCUCCCAAACAACUACAUGUAUGUUUAAUUAUUUGUUUGCCAUGCUUUUAUAAUUGUGAUUUGGAGUCAAUGCCAGGGUUUUUUUUUUUUAAUGUGGGAAUGUCUAAUAUAUAUCAGAAAUUUAAGAUUAUUUUUGCUCUCUGAAGCCUUUUAUCAUUUUUACCAUUUCCUUUUAUGGAAAUUGAAAUACUAAGUUUAUGACUAAAUUGUCCUGGGGCUUAUAGGGAGAUGAUAAAGCCUGUAAGUGUCACACUUCCAUGCUAAGUGGUUAAGACUGACAGUUCCUUGUGCCCUGACUACUCCAUGCUGUAUUAGCCAUAACAGGAAAGAUCUGUGGUGACAUGUAACCCUUUUUAACACUUGCCUCAGGAUAUUACCCACUGUGAAAAGGCUUUUUAAACUCGUGUUCAUUUCAUACUGAAAUAAUCCACUUUAUUCAUGUCCUCAAGCUCAUGUUUGUAUAGCAGUGGUUGUUUUAAUAACAUUCCAAGGUUCAAAAAUGGAGAGUUGUGGUAGCAGUCGCUUUGAUGUAAAGAAAAGAAAAUGGGGAAAAAACAACAGAAAAAAGAAAAUUUCAAGGUGAAAUCUCUAAACAUUUUGAUUAUUGCCUCUCUCUGAGAAUAUUACUUAAUCUUUGGGACCUCUACUAAACUCCCUGGUCACUACUAUGAAGUAACGAUCAUUUUAAUUAUUGAUACUAGUACACCUGAAUGAUAUAUUGUUAGCUGUGCAAAACUGUGUAUGUUUUAGUCAGGCUUCUCUCCUAACACAGUUUUCUUGUAUUCUAUAGAUUAUUCUUCAGUGUUUGAAUUUGAAAUAUUAAUGUCUCAUCAUGCUCCAAAGAGAUACCCUGAGAAAGAUAGAUGGAUGGACGGUGCUCCUGAUUGUCUCCUUUUCAUAGUGUGCAAAACAUUCAGGAGGAGAAAAGCCCAGCUGUAAAAUCAAGGUUUCCAGACCAGGCUAUUUCUAUUUAUAGCACUGAAAAUGGGACAUGAUACUAGCUAUUUUAGAAAAGCCAUUCCAAGAUGUUCACCAAGUUAUACAAAUAUAGACUGAUAUUUUCUCAAUAAGGACAGAUGAAUUCAAGGACAAAUAUAUGAGAUCUUACUUAAAGCAGAAAAUGUCAACCAUGGAAGAAGGAGAGCUGAUUAUCAUGCCUUUGACAGGAACAGUAGCUAUGAAUCACAGAACCUAUUAACUUGAACUCUCACAACCUCCUUGUCAACCUCCCAGGCUAUGAAGAAAUCCUCUUCUAACGUGGCUUGCACUUAGCAAUGCUCUCAAUCCCUGUUCUGUUACUGCUGCUGCUGAAGACCAAGCAAACACUGGUCCUGUCUUGGUGACUCUAAUUGUCCUAAUGUACAAGUGAAGAAGGAACCACUUUCUUGUAAUUUGCCAUCUUGUGGAUUGAGUUCAAUGUUUUAUUGAAAUCAUUUUGAAAGUAGCACCUAUGCCCCAUUGUAGACCUUCACACUUUAAACAUAAUGUCUUUAUAGUGGGUAAAGUGGCUCAGUGGAUAACAUGCUUGCUGUGUAAGUAUGAGAGCUGGAGUUUAGAAUGCUGGCACUUAUAUAAAAACCCAGGCAGGUGUAUGAGCCCCCUGUGUUCUCAGCAGUCAGAGGUGGAAACAGAUUCAUUCCCAGACAAGCCUACUGGCAAGACUGAGAAUGAGCAAGUUCUGAGUUAAGAAAGAGACCCUGGCAUAAUUCAUAAAGUAUAGAAUGAUCUAGAAGACAUCCUAUAUCAACCAUCAGCUUCAGUGUGUAUAUACACAACAACACAGGUGUGAGAAUGUGCAAAAACACACACUUGCAUGCACACCACAAACGUAAGUAAAAUGUCUCAUAUUGCACAUGUCUUAUCUGGCUACACAAUCUUGCUGUCCUCUAUUCUCGGCAUGCUCUCUUCUUUGUAAAUUGCCCUUCCUUAUUCAAAAGUGCUGACAAAUAUAGAUGAACUUCAGCUGUAAAAUAAGUAUUAUCUAGAAAUAAAUUGAAAAACGUAAACUUUCCAAGCUUGCUCUUUAAUAGAGAUUUUACAGCUAAUUUGUAAGUCCCUAUGAUGUUGGAGUUCUUCAUUAUCCUUUCAUGAGACUGCUUGUGUAGUCAGCUGCAUAGGACAGAAAAUCUGUAGCUGCAUAGAAACAGCGCGGGAUCUUCUGAGUUAUCCUCAAAUGUCAUCAAUUGCAAAGGGCUCUAUAUCUUUCAGUUAUGAUUACAAGGAGACUAUUGCUCCACAGAGGACCCCCCCCCUAGAGGGUAGUGGCACGUGUUUCUUAUCAGUGCAAAAGCUGUUGUAGGCUGCCAAACAUAUUAGAACAGUAAACCAUAGAGGAAAAGACAUUUUCUUUGACCCCGUUUACUUAAGUGAUUUAUCUAAACUUCAGACUUUAGUGUCUGAAAUUACUCCUGAUAUUGAAUCUGUUUUUUUUUUUAAUUUGUUUCAAGUCCCAUGGAGCUCAUUUAAGUUCAGGGUAUCCAUUGACCUACAGGCUUAGGUACAGUGGUGAUAUCAGUACAGACUGUGGAGAGUGGAGGGACACCUGGAACGAAUGAGCCACAGUGAAAACAAAGACAUUGGGCUAGAAAUUGAGACUUUUGUUUUGAAAGGUGAAGCAUCCAGUACCAAGGUAGUUUUGAUAAGGAUUACUGCUUUUGUUUUGUUUGUUUUUGUUUUAUUUUGUAUUUAUUAACCAUGGAAUCAUGAAAUCUGGCCACUACUGUCUGCAAGCUCUGAAGCUCUGUUCUUUUUUAAAAAUUUGUUUUGUUUGUUUCAUAAUUAAUAUUCUUAUUUAUAUUUAUAUAUAUUUUUAGUAUUUCUCUUUUUAGUUUUCCUUUGAGAGGGAUGCUACAAGGGUGAAGGGCAGAUAUGGAGAUAAUAGGAAAUGAGUGAGAUUGGGGUGCAUGAUGUAAAAUUUCUAAAGAAUCAGUUAAAAAAAAGUUAUGUUAAAAAAAUAAAGUCCUGGGUGGGGUUGUUAAGUUUUCAUAUGCUGAGGUUAAAAAAUGGAGUUUACUGCUAUUUGGGUAAAAAGACAUUUGAUGUAGAUGAAUCCUAUUGCCUUUUCUCCUGCCUUGACCCCUAACCUUCACAUUGCCUGGGCAGAGGAGCCAGUAGAUACUAUAAGUCUAAAUAUUUAAAGCUCCAAGUGAGUUAUACAUGAUCUGAUUAUGUAAGAUUUGGCUCCUGUCUUACCAAGCACCGAUUUACACUGAGUAGGAUAGCCAGGGGAAAUGUAGGGAUUUGUGAAACCUUAGGUUUGCUUCUGAGGGUAACUAGACCCCUACUCCUCACCCAUAGCCUAUUCUUUUUCUUCUCUUAGCUUUACGGCAUUCAGUGCAUGAAGAGACUUCCGUGCACUUUGUGCGCAUGUCUUGCUGCAUAACAAAUCUCCAGAAAUAACUGAACCCCUGCAAAAAAAAAAAAUGUUUCUGUUAGUCUUUCUUGGCCUGGGGGCAUGCAUAUGAGCACUGUGAUUCCCCACAGGAGGAUGCACUUUAAAAAUCACCUUGGAAAUAAUAUCAGGGCUAUUUGAUCCAGCAAUUUGGAAGAGCCAACACCCAGAAAAUAGUAUAGAGAGAGGAAGAUGGACUUUAGAUAAGGUUCCUCAUAGAACCUUAACUCUUUGAGGGGGUUGGGAAAGAGGAAGAACAGUGGUGAAUUUCGGGUAAGAGCCCAUGUCUUAGUAAGGUGCUAUGAGAUUCUUUGUAAUACGUUUUUCCCAGAAUAUGAAUUUGUUCCUCGGAAUUGUAUAAAUAUGUGUGAUGAAGACGAGAUGGCAUUGUAGUUUCUGAAAAGGAAAAUGUAUUAUUCAUAGAACUGAAAGAGAAUAUUAGAGACAAGAUUAAUGGAAAAGUCUUCAAAUAGCCUCAAACAAAUGAUACCCAACUGAGGUUAUGGAUAUACCAAUGACUGUGAUUUGAUCAUUAUUUAAUGUAUACAUGUAUUGCAAUAUCACAUUCUACCCACAAAUAUAUACAACCACUAGAUUUCAAUUAGACAUUAAAAUUAUUCUUUUAAAAGCAUAUGGAUGGAGAUGGAACAAGCCUGUCCUUUCUUGUUCUUCCUGAGCAACAUUUCCUGUUAAUGAAGAGAAACGUGCCAUAAGAAAACCUAUCAUUGUAAAAACCAGUAACGAAGCUCAGAAUUGCCAUGUCCUUGUCAGGCAUCAUUUUUCUGGCCCCUCUGGUCAUAGGACAAGGCUGUGAGGCUGGCUGAAAGCAGGUGGCUAUAAUUAAUUCUUCUGGUAAAUAUUAACAUUGUCAUCUCUCUGAGCAGGAGGGUUAAGGAGAAUGUUUCUCCAUUCUUACAUUGGCCCUUAAAAAUGGCUCUGGCAUCCUGUUACCAGAUGCCAGCAGAUGCCAGUGUGCUGCAGGGUUCCAGUAUCAUUGCUGUGGGUGUCCUCAGUAGGAACUGGUAGUGUAUGGCACCAGUGCCCCACUGCUGCUCCUGUUUUACAGAAUGCAAUCAUCUCUGUCACCUUCAACAUGGACCUAUCAGACUGACAUGGAAUGCUUUUCAUAUUUGAAAAUAAAUUCUCUUUAAAGUCUCAAUAGUAAGUUUAAAAAUUGGCUCGAUUAAGCAUAAGAUGAUGGCUCUGUGUGCCUGGGAAGCAGAAAGCAAGUGUAGAUUCUAAAUUUUCAGUUUUGGCAAGCAGAGUGCUGAAUGUGGCAGAGUUUCAAAAUGUUUAUUGGAAAUAAAACAUGAACUGAACUGAAAACUGUCCUUUCUGGAAAGCAUUCAUAAAAAUUUGACUUUGGUUGUGUUUUUGCACCUAAAAUAUGUAUUUGUACACUUCCUCUAUAAACUGUUUUUAAUUGUAGUUAAAGAAUUACUGUUGAACUAGUGAGUUUAAACAAAAAGAAAGUUUAAAGGUGGUGCCUUAAGUUGUCAACAUUCCUGCUGUGUUUCCAUACCAUCUCUGAGAGUAUUAAUAAAAUUAGAAAAGUA